rnacentral:rRNA from 1 species
CUUACACAUGCAGUCGAGCGGUAGCACAGGGGAGCUUGCUCCCUGGGUGACGAGCGGCGGACGGGUGAGUAAUGUCUGGGAAACUGCCUGAUGGAGGGGGAUAACUACUGGAAACGGUAGCUAAUACCGCAUAACGUCGCAAGACCAAAGAGGGGGACCUUCGGGCCUCUUGCCAUCAGAUGUGCCAGAUGGGAUUAGCUAGUAGGUGGGGUAAUGGCUCACCUAGGCGACGAUCCCUAGCUGGUCUGAGAGGAUGACCAGCCACACUGGAACUGAGACACGGUCCAGACUCCUACGGGAGGCAGCAGUGGGGAAUAUUGCACAAUGGGCGCAAGCCUGAUGCAGCCAUGCCGCGUGUGUGAAGAAGGCCUUCGGGUUGUAAAGCACUUUCAGCGAGGAGGAAGGUGGUGAACUUAAUACGUUCAUCAAUUGACGUUACUCGCAGAAGAAGCACCGGCUAACUCCGUGCCAGCAGCCGCGGUAAUACGGAGGGUGCAAGCGUUAAUCGGAAUUACUGGGCGUAAAGCGCACGCAGGCGGUUUGUUAAGUCAGAUGUGAAAUCCCCGGGCUCAACCUGGGAACUGCAUUUGAAACUGGCAAGCUAGAGUCUCGUAGAGGGGGGUAGAAUUCCAGGUGUAGCGGUGAAAUGCGUAGAGAUCUGGAGGAAUACCGGUGGCGAAGCGGCCCCCUGGACGAAGACUGACGCUCAGUGCGAAAGCGUGGGGAGCAACAGAUUAGAUACCCUGGUAGUCACGCUGUAACGAUGUCGAUUUGGAGUUGUGCCCUUGAGC